AUGUACAUAUCAUCAUUCACUUUGCGCUGCCAUCCACCCAACGCACACACACACACACUCAAAACGCAGGCCGGUCCGGUCUCGCUUCCCUUUGAUCAGCUUCUGACACACACAGUCCGCUCUCACAUGCGCCUGCUGCUCGCUGCCUUCUGGCCAAAGUCCAACAACUUGACACCACCACCACCGUCACCACCACCGGAAAUCAGGGAGAGAAGAGGAGAAAAAAAAACAAGGGCUUUGGCAGAAGCCCAUCAUCCAUGGAAGCAGCAACAGCAGCAGCAGCUCAAACAAAAUUGCCCCCCGGAAAGGCUGCCGAGACAACUUAGGAAAGGGGGGUUAACGGCGGCCCCACCCAAUCAAGGCAGAAAGCUAGGGCAGGAGCUUAGGAACAAUCCUGUAAUGACCCCCUCCUUAAUUGUACUUUGCACACCAAAUGACAAACCCCCACGCCUAAGUACAUUCCAAGCAAGCAACCACAGGGCCCCUCCCUCACCCCAAUGCAUGCAGCACACACCACAACACAAUGCCCCUCUGCCAAAGGGAAUCCAACAAGCCCGAAAAGCAAAGUCAAAAAGCAACGAGUGCCCAAGCCAAGAAGGGCGGGUGCAUUGGCAAUGGCAGUGCCGCUGCAAUUGCAUCAAGAAAUGCCACUGCAACUGCAUACAUCCAAGCAAGCACAGGCACGCAUGCACCACAGCACUAUCAGAGAGAAGAGAGAGAAAGAGGCCCCAAAAUCUCUAA
rnacentral:rRNA from 1 species